UGGGGAAUCUUAGACAAUGGGCGAAAGCCUGAUCUAGCGAUGCCGCGUGAGUGACGAAGGCCUUAGGGUCGUAAAGCUCUUUCGCCAGGGAUGAUAAUGACAGUACCUGGUAAAGAAACCCCGGCUAACUCCGUGCCAGCAGCCGCGGUAAUACGGAGGGGGUUAGCGUUGUUCGGAAUUACUGGGCGUAAAGCGCACGUAGGCGGAUCAGAAAGUGUGGGGUGAAAUCCCAGGGCUCAACCCUGGAACUGCCCUGCAAACUAUUGGUCUAGAGUUCGAGAGAGGUAAGUGGAAUUCCGAGUGUAGAGGUGAAAUUCGUAGAUAUUCGGAGGAACACCAGUGGCGAAGGCGGCUUACUGGCUCGAUACUGACGCUGAGGUGCGAAAGUGUGGGGAGCAAACAGGAUUAGAUACCCUGGUAGUCCACACCGUAAACGAUGAAUGCCAGACGUCAGGGGGCUUGCCCUUUGGUGUCACACCUAACGGAUUAAGCAUUCCGCCUGGGGAGUACGGUCGCAAGAUUAAACUCAAAUG
rnacentral:rRNA from 1 species